rnacentral:rRNA from 1 species
GAUGAACGCUGGCGGCGUGCCUAAUACAUGCAAGUCGAGCGAACGGACGAGAAGCUUGCUUUUCUGAUGUUAGCGGCGGACGGGUGAGUAACACGUGGAUAACCUACCUAUAAGACUGGGAUAACUUCGGGAAACCGGAGCUAAUACCGGAUAAUAUUUUGAACCGCAUGGUUCAAAAGUGAAAGACGGUCUUGCUGUCACUUAUAGAUGGAUCCGCGCUGCAUUAGCUAGUUGGUAAGGUAACGGCUUACCAAGGCAACGAUGCAUAGCCGACCUGAGAGGGUGAUCGGCCACACUGGAACUUAGACACGGUCCAGACUCCUACGGGAGGCAGCAGUAGGGAAUCUUCCGCAAUGGGCGAAAGCCUGACGGAGCAACGCCGCGUGAGUGAUGAAGGUCUUCGGAUCGUAAAACUCUGUUAUUAGGGAAGAACAUAUGUGUAAGUAACUGUGCACAGCUUGACGGUACCUAAUCAGAAAGCCACGGCUAACUACGUG